rnacentral:rRNA from 1 species
AUUGAACGCUGGCGGCAGGCUUAACACAUGCAAGUCGAGCGGGGGAAGUUGCUUCGGUAAUUGACCUAGCGGCGGACGGGUGAGUAAUACUUAGGAAUCUGCCUAUUAAUGGGGGACAACAUCUCGAAAGGGAUGCUAAUACCGCAUACGCCCUACGGGGGAAAGCAGGGGACCACUCGUGACCUUGCGUUAAUAGCUGAGCCUAGGUCGGAUUAGCUAGUUGGUGGGGUAAAGGCCUACCAACGCGACGAUCUGUAGCGGGUCUGAGAGGAUGAUCCGCCACAAUGGGACUGAGACACGGCCCAGACUCCUACGGGAGGCGGCAGUGGGGAAUAUUGGACAAUGGGGGGAACCCUGAUCCAGCCAUGCCGCGUGUGUGAAGAAGGCCUUAUGGUUGUAAAGCACUUUAAGCGAGGAGGAGGCUCUUUUGGUUAAUACCCAAGAUGAGUGGACGUUACUCGCAGAAUAAGCACCGGCUAACUCUGUGCCAGCAGCCGCGGUAACAC